AUCGGGAGCAAGCCUUCGGGUGAGUGUACCUUUCGAAUAAGCACCGGCUAACUACGUGCCAGCAGCCGCGGUAAUACGUAGGGUGCAAGCGUUAUCCGGAAUUAUUGGGCGUAAAGGGCUCGUAGGCGGUUCGUCGCGUCCGGUGUGAAAGUCCAUCGCUUAACGGUGGAUCUGCGCCGGGUACGGGCGGGCUGGAGUGCGGUAGGGGAGACUGGAAUUCCCGGUGUAACGGUGGAAUGUGUAGAUAUCGGGAAGAACACCAAUGGCGAAGGCAGGUCUCUGGGCCGUUACUGACGCUGAGGAGCGAAAGCGUGGGGAGCGAACAGGAUUAGAUACCCUGGUAGUCCACGCCGUAAACGGUGGAUGCUGGAUGUGGGGCCCGUUCCACGGGUUCCGUGUCGGAGCUAACGCGUUAAGCAUCCCGCCUGGGGAGUACGGCCGCAAGGCUAAAACUCAAAGAAAUUGACGGGGGCCCGCACAAGCGGCGGAGCAUGCGGAUUAAUUCGAUGCAACGCGAAGAACCUUACCUGGGCUUGACAUGUUCCCGACCGCGGCAGAGAUGUCGUUUCCCUUCGGGGCGGGUUCACAGGUGGUGCAUGGUCGUCGUCAGCUCGUGUCGUGAGAUGUUGGGUUAAGUCCCGCAACGAGCGCAACCCUCGCCCUGUGUUGCCAGCACGUCAUGGUGGGAACUCACGGGGGACCGCCGGGGUCAACUCGGAGGAAGGUGGGGAUGACGUCAGAUCAUCAUGCCCCUUACGUCCAGGGCUUCACGCAUGCUACAAUGGCCGGUACAACGGGAUGCGACACGGCGACGUGGAGCGGAUCCCUGAAAACCGGUCUCAGUUCGGAUUGGAGUCUGCAACCCGACUCCAUGAAGGCGGAGUCGCUAGUAAUCGCGGAUCAGCAACGCCGCGGUGAAUGCGUUCCCGGGCCUUGUACACACCGCCCGUCAAGUCAUGAAAGUGGGUAGCACCCGAAGCCGGUGGCCUAACCCUUUGUGGAUGGAGCCGUCUAAGGUGAGACUCGUGAUUGGGACUAAGUCGUAACAAGGUAGCCGUACCGGAAGGUGCGGCUG
rnacentral:rRNA from 1 species